rnacentral:rRNA from 1 species
CGGGUGAGUAACACGUGGAUAACCUACCUAUAAGACUGGGAUAACUUCGGGAAACCGGAGCUAAUACCGGAUAAUAUUUUGAACCGCAUGGUUCAAAAGUAAAAGACGGUCUUGCUGUCACUUAUAGAUGGAUCCGCGCUGCAUUAGCUAGUUGGUAAGGUAACUGCUUACCAAGGCAACGAUGCAUAGCCGACCUGAGAGGGUGAUCGGCCACACUGGAACUGAGACACGGUCCAG